rnacentral:misc_RNA from 1 species
CCUGCGUUAUCUUUUAACAGA